AGUAAUCUCAUCGUAGGAAUGCUGGACGGUGAUGGGUUGGAUGAGAUCUAUCAUGUAAUCGAGUUAGUUUUGACGGGGAUUGAUCCAAUGUAUCCACUAUGUUCUGAGAUUGAUGUUGCUACUACUUUGUCAUGCUUAAUGCUUGUCACUAGGGCCCGAGUGCCAUGAUUUCAGAUCUGAACCUAUUAUGUUGUUGCCAAUAUGUGUGUGUUUUAGUUCCUAUCUUGCAAGUUGUAGUCACCUACUAUGUGUUAUGACCUGGCAACCCCGGAGUGACAAUACCCGGAACCACUCCCGGAGAUGACCAUAGUAUGAGGAGUUCAUGUAUUCACCAAGUGUUAAUGCGUUGGUCUGGUUCUUUAUUAAAAGGAGAACCUUAAUAUCCCGUAGUUUCCAUUAGGACCCCCGCUGCCACGGGAGGGAUGGACAAUAGAUGGCAUGCAAGUUCUUUCCCCUAAGCACGUAUGACUACAUACGGAAUACAUGCCUACAUUAGAUUCACGAACUGGAGCUAGUUACUUAUCUCUCUGUGUUAUAACUGUUGCAUGAUGAAUCACAUCCGGCAUAAUCAUCCAUCACCGAUCCAAUGCCUAUGAGUCUUUUACUACUGGUCCUUGCUAUGUUACUUUGCUGCUAGUGCUGUCACUGCUGCUAUUGUUACUGUGUUGCUACUGCUGUUACUCUGCUGCUACUGGUUAAUGUUGCUACUUCUGCUAUCACCCUACUUUGCUGCAGACACUAAAUCUUCCAGGUGUGGUUGAAUUGACAACUCAGCUGCUAAUACUUGAUAAUAUUCUUUCGCUUCCCCUUGAGUCGAAUCAACAAAUUUGGGUUGAAUACUCUACCCUCGAAAACUGUUGCG
rnacentral:lncRNA from 1 species